UAUUAAAAUAAUAUAUAAUGAGACUAAGUAAAAAUUUGAACUUUGGUGAUUGUUGAUGUUCCCCAAUGGCAAUACUUUGAGUGCUGCUUGGUCAUGUGCUUUUGCUGCAGCUUCUUUGUCGUCAUAAGAGGAAUGUGUCUGUUUCAGUGCACUAUAUAUUACAUGCAGAAACACGUUUUUGAGGUUUGGACAAAGUCGCUUUUUUGCUGAUAAAGUGUGUUGGGAUCAUUUGGUUGGGGCUUACAGAAUAAUAUUAGGCCCAAUACAAAGUACAUAUAACUAUUUGUUUUAUCCGUCGGGCCGUGGUUAGGGCAUUCAUUUCCGCGCACAACUUACGUCGUAUUGCGGUCGCAUUGUCUGCCGGCGAAUUAGGGUUCUUUAGGUGUACAAAGUCAUGUGGCCGGGAGUCUACACCGAGAUUGGCACAAAGACUUCACACUCACCGCUUGCUUUGACACUGGAGUUGUAUGUAAUUUGUCGUAUGCCGUGCGUAUUCGAUGCAGUUUACGCUUGGAUUGGAGAUUUGGCAAUGGUAUGCUCUUGGAGUUGACGAAGGGAAGGUAAAAAUUGUGCCAGGAAUGUACAAGCGACCUUGUUUCAAAAGGCGGUGUAGCACUCCCAUCCGCGGCCCAGCCAAGUUCCUAAUUAAUUUUCUUAACCCUAGCCUCCAAACCUGAUGCAUUCCACGACUCUCUUUUUCCCACGACCUCGCACUCGACUCACCUUCUUCUUCUUUGUCACCCACGGCCAUCGUCACCGUCAUCCUCUUUUUUUAUCCGGCUUCACCUUAUACUAAUUCCUCACCUUCAUCGUCCUUUUUGGCUUUAUCUUCGUCGGACAUAUUUUCAUGAAGCAUUAAGGAUGUGUGGAUUCUUAUGCUUUUAAGGCCAAGUCGAAACGCCAGUAACAAUACACAUUUUUUUAUGAACAGGCUCUGCAGGGGCUGCGCAAAGUUCCUUUCCUUAAGGACAAGGAAAAUAUUGGCAGCAUUCUGCAAUGCAAAGAUUUCUUGGUGGUUAUGCAAUGAACUUUGGUAAUGGCUUUGAAGCAGAGAGGAGUACGAGCUGACUCUCUCUAGUACUGCAACAUAUACAAAUGUGCCAAGGAAAGCUUGAGCCGUCAGAGUGAUAUCCUGUUAACAAUGCCAGAGAGCCUGCCUGCUUCCUGCCAGGCAUAUUGUGAAGAACAGUGGAUAUGCAGUUUCUAGACAAGAUUACUGGAUUCAGAAGUUUGCCUACUGGCUGUUGGUGUAGUACAUUGGGAAGUUGAAUAAGAUCAUAAUUGGGGGAAUUCAUUAUAAUUGAUUUGCUUGGUUUAGUUUCAUUUGUUUCAACUGUUUUUGGAGAUUUCUAAUUCAAAUGCACAGAGACUUGGGCAUAUGCUUCAUGGCAGAAGCUUGGUAAGACACAUUGCCUGUAUCUAUGGGGCAGCCAUUAUUUAUCUGUUUUUCCUUGUAUUAUUAUAUGUGUGCUUUGGGGUGUUGAAA